UGGGCGUAACGAUUUCGAAGAGGAGAAUCAAGAAACGUAAGAUGCCAGGUGAACUUGCUGAUGACGCUGCGCUCGAUACCUACGAAGAAACAAGACGCUUUUUAGUUGAAAUUUUGGACAGCCUUUCAAUCGAAGUUUCUACUCGUUUUGCUAGCUUGAGAGUGCUGAAUGAGCGCCUCGGAUUUUUCUUCAACUUCAAAGAAUAUCUUGAUGACGAUAAAGAAGUUUUGAAUGGAAAACUAUUGGAAGUUAACGAUAAAUGCAAAUCAUUAGCUGAUUUUUCUUCUGAAAAGGGCCAAUAAGAAGGGAGAAAGUCUUGAUCUCACUCCAAAAGGAAUACUAUUGUAUAUUUCAUCGUUGGGGACAGAGGCGUACAAAACACUUGUGACGGCAUUGAAAAUUUUGUUGACUCUACCAUUGUCCGUGGCUUCGUGUGAGCGAUCAUUCAGUAAACUGAAAUUGAUAAAAUCUUAUCUCCGCACAACCAUGAACCAAGACAGGCUGUCAAAUUUAGCUAUACUAUCUAUCGAAAAUGAAGUAGCAGCAUCACUCGACUACAAUGAUAUUAUUGCUGAAUUUGCGGCAAUCAAGGCCAGAAAAGUUAUAUUCUAAAACAAAUAGGGAGGGGGCGGAAUUUUUCGCUUUGCCCCGGGCGCCAGCAACCCUAGAUCCGCCACUGUGAAGGAGAUCCACUAGAGAAUCCCAGUGGGAAGGAUUCUGCCGGGCGUGUCCUCUCAAAGAACAACCACCAGUAACAUGAUCUCCGACGACCUUUCCAUUAGCACUCUGUACACCACCACCACCAGCUACUUGGCAGCUUAAGCGGAGCUGGAGGACCCGCUGGCUUCUAUAGGUAGGAGGAAAAUAGGGCGCCCGCUAAAGAACAGUUGGAGAAGCCAUAGCCAACCACUGCCAGGAUGCUGGGCGACUUACUGCAGCAUCAGCGGAUCAACCCCGCGGGACUCGGAGCUGCACUGCGGUGGAGCUGGAAAGAUGGCGAAGCAUCCGUGGGACGAGAA